UACAGAGGGGGCAAGCGUUGUUCGGAAUUAUUGGGCGUAAAGAGCUCGUAGGCGGUGUGUCACGUCGGCCGUGAAAACCUGCAGCUUAACUGUGGGCGUGCGGUCGAUACGGGCAUCACUGGAGUUCGGCAGGGGAGACUGGAAUUCCUGGUGUAGCGGUGAAAUGCGCAGAUAUCAGGAGGAACACCGGUGGCGAAGGCGGGUCUCUGGGCCGAUACUGACGCUGAGGAGCGAAAGCGUGGGGAGCAAACAGG
rnacentral:rRNA from 1 species